GGUCAGCUGCUGCCUACCAUAGCAUCACCUGCAGCAGCACUGGCUCCAGUGCCCACCAGCAACAGAGCUGACUGACAUCCAGAGAAGCACCUCAGGACUUCUGCCUGAAGAAAAAAUGGAAGGGGAAAAUGCUCUUUGCAGAUGUCACUGAAGCUGUGUGUCAACUCAUCCUGCCUCUUUCUGCAACUCACAAUAAAGGCUUUUUUUGGGGUGUGAUUUCUUCAGGAGGGUGUUGAACUGCUGAAUACUUUAGAUGAAACUACCUACGACAAAGCAGGACUGAUCAUUACCUGGAUCAACCGAACAGGGUUCUGCAUAGUAUCUUCUCCCCCAAAGAGGUAGACCCUCUGAUCUUUGGCAGCAACAGCAGGGUGAAGGACAGCAACAGGCAUGUUUGCCAUGCUCUCACAGAUGUUGUAAACACUAUCAUAUCUUUCCACAGAGUUCAGGAUUUCUUGGUUUUUGCCUAUUCCACCGAAUGAUAAGAUAUAAUUUUUGUAUGCCAAGCUUCUGUGGGAGUAACGUGCAAUUAACAUGUGCUCAACCAACCUCCACUGAUUGAGUUUAAGGGAGUAAAUGUAAAUAUUAUCACUGACUGGGCUUUUCUUAUUGCUAACGGGCAUCCCUCCGAGCACAUAAAUAUUGCUGUGCAAGCUCACUGCAGAGGCUUUGUACAGGCGCAUGGGAAGCUUGGCCAGGCUUAGCCACUGGUUCGUCUUGUCAUCAUAGAGCAGGACAUCUCUUGUCGUCUGCUGGCUGUCCUUCCUGCCACCAAUGAUGACGAGGAACUCUUGGCUGGAGUACCUGCGAGGGACAUGCAGCAUGGGCUUGAUGUCAGGCACACUGGUGCUAUACAAGGAAAACAUAUGUCUCCAGGCUGACUCCAGGAUGCUCCUGCAAGUGGGUGAGGACUGAAUAAGGGAGUCAUUGGCAAUGAAGUGGAAGAGGAAAGUUGGAUGGACGUAUUGAAGCCGGACCUUCUUGAACAACUCUUGGAUAUAGCCUUGUCUUGCCUGGAGGUCAUGCCGGAUCCAGACCAUCAGUGCCUCAAAGACCUGCUCUUCUUCCCCACAGAGCUCAUCAUCCCCAAGGUAAUCAAUGAGCUCCAAGGGACAAAGGUCCUUCAGUUCCUCAGAAGAGGCCACCUGAGGAAAGCAUUUCAAAGCCAUAGCCUUGGCUUUCUGAUUUAGGCUUUGGCAGUUCAAGACCUUUGCCAAUCUGAUCAUGCUCAGACAGUUGUCAGGAGUCAGCUUGUCUUGGAGGUAGGCAGAGCAGGCCUCAAACAGUUUAUCAUACUGAAGCAUGGAGGCUGUCUCCAGCAGACACAGGACAUUCUCAGUAGAUAUAAGAAUCUGCCCUGUGUAAAUGUAAAGGACAAUCUGAUCCAAAAUCUCAGCAUCAAUGCCCUUCAGGAUGACUUUAGCCUGAUGACUCUCUCUGAAGUCAUUACAGAACAUUGCCUUGAAGUACGGACUGCUGGAAGCCAGCACGUUUCGGUGGCAGGGGAUUUCAAAGCCCCCGGAGCAGAGGGUAACAUCAGUCAGCAUCCUGCUCUGACGCAGAGCAUUCAGCUGCAUCAGCAGUUCAGAGGAGAAGUCUUGGUCUUUGAAGAGAAGCUCCUCAGUGGAUCCCUCCUCCAUAGCAAAACAGGAGAGAGACGAAUUCCGGGCUUGGCAGAAAAAGCUAAAUUCUUAGCAGCUUUUAUUGGACUAUCCAGAUCCAAGGGAGCACAUCGAGACUUUGAUGUUGCUCUAGAUAUCUCUUCACUGUUAUGAAUUAAAAUGGAACACGAGUUAAGCACAGUGGGAAAAUAAUAAAGAAGCCAAAAGGUCGUUAAGACCCUUUAAAUUUUUCAUAACUGUAUCAGAUAGGUUUGAGCUCUGAGGUCAGCACUGCCUGUGUCCCUGGCAAGAAGCAAAAGCACUGAAGUUAUCUCACUGACUUGAGAUGAAAGCUGGACAGCUGAAGCCAAUGGUUUGUUCAUUUUCAUCACGUUGAAUAAACGCAUUUAGACAUUUAUUCACCGCUUUAACGUAUUAGCAGUUUAGUAGCUUGCGCCUCUUUCCCCUAGAGUUAGUCACUCCCAAAGAAUGUCAAUCUGGCAAAGCCGAGCCCUGCAGCAGGACAAACGAAACCCUGGAGAUGGGGGAUCUGCAUUAAAACGGUUAUUUAUUAACUCGGCUCAGCUGUGGGGGGUUUUCUAUGUUAAUCAGACACACGAUGAGUAAAUUAACUACCAGGCAGAACAAUAUGAUGCGUAUCCAUUGUCACGGCUAACUUGCUCGACCUGCAGUGAAACGGUCACUCUGUGGAGAAAGCAAGGACUGCUUUAGAAGAGUGGGAUGUGCUUUGAGUAGAUGCCCUGCUCCUACAAAAUCCUCUAGGGUCUGAUCCAAAGUCCAGCACACUCAGUGGGAGGAGGAGAGGAGAAAGCAGAUUUAAAAAUCUUGGAGGCCUUUCAGUUUAACAUUUGGAUUUGAGAGCUGAUGUGAGCCAUUACAGAUCGCAGGGUACCCUACCUCAGCCCUGGUCACAAGGAUGCGGAUCAAGGUCUCUUCAUCA